CAGUCGCCGCGGGAAUACGUAGGGUGCAGGCGUUAAUCGGAAUUACUGGGCGUAAAGCGUGCGCGGGCGGUUUGUUAAGACAGGUGUGAAAUCCCCGGGCUCAACCUGGGAACUGCAUUUGUGACUGGCAGGCUAGAGCAUGGCAGAGGGGGGUGGAAUUCCGCGUGUAGCAGUGAAAUGCGUAGAUAUGCGGAGGAACACCGAUGGCGAAGGCGGCAACCUGGCUCAUUACUGACGCUGAGGCGCGAAAGCGUGGGGAGCAAACAGGAUUAGAUACCCCGGUAGUCCCUGUCUCUUAUAC
rnacentral:rRNA from 1 species